rnacentral:rRNA from 2 species
AACGCGAAGAACCUUACCUGGUCUUGACAUCCACGGAAGUUUUCAGAGAUGAGAAUGUGCCUUCGGGAACCGUGAGACAGGUGCUGCAUGGCUGUCGUCAGCUCGUGUUGUGAAAUGUUGGGUUAAGUCCCGCAACGAGCGCAACCCUUAUCCUUUGUUGCCAGCGGUCCGGCCGGGAACUCAAAGGAGACUGCCAGUGAUAAACUGGAGGAAGGUGGGGAUGACGUCAAGUCAUCAUGGCCCUUACGACCAGGGCUACACACGUGCUACAAUGGCGCAUACAAAGAGAAGCGACCUCGCGAGAGCAAGCGGACCUCAUAAAGUGCGUCGUAGUCCGGAUUGGAGUCUGCAACU